UGGGGAAUUUUGGACAAUGGGCGCAAGCCUGAUCCAGCAAUGCCGCGUGUGUGAAGAAGGCCUUCGGGUUGUAAAGCACUUUUGUCCGGAAAGAAAACSUCGUGGYUAAUAYCCGKGGSGGAUGACGGUACCGGAAGAAUAAGCACCGGCUAACUACGUGCCAGCAGCCGCGGUAAUACGUAGGGUGCAAGCGUUAAUCGGAAUUACUGGGCGUAAAGCGUGCGCAGGCGGUUCGCUAAGACAGAUGUGAAAUCCCCGGGCUUAACCUGGGAACUGCAUUUGUGACUGGCGGGCUAGAGUAUGGCAGAGGGGGGUAGAAUUCCACGUGUAGCAGUGAAAUGCGUAGAGAUGUGGAGGAAUACCGAUGGCGAAGGCAGCCCCCUGGGCCAAUACUGACGCUCAUGCACGAAAGCGUGGGGAGCAAACAGGAUUAGAUACCCUGGUAGUCCACGCCCUAAACGAUGUCAACUGGUUGUCGGGCCUUCAUUGGCUUGGUAACGUAGCUAACGCGUGAAGUUGACCGCCUGGGGAGUACGGUCGCAAGAUUA
rnacentral:rRNA from 1 species